rnacentral:rRNA from 1 species
AUUGAACGCUGGCGGAAUGCUUUACACAUGCAAGUCGAACGGCAGCACGGGGCAACCUGGUGGCGAGUGGCGAACGGGUGAGUAAUGCAUCGGAACGUGCCCUGAAGUGGGGGGAUAACGUAGCGAAAGUUACGCUAAUACCGCAUAUUCUGUGAGCAGGAAAGCAGGGGAUCUUCGGACCUUGCGCUUUUGGAGCGGCCGAUGUCGGAUUAGCUAGUUGGUGGGGUAAAGGCCCACCAAGGCGACGAUCCGUAGCGGGUCUGAGAGGAUGAUCCGCCACACUGGAACUGAGACACGGUCCAGACUCCUACGGGAGGCAGCAGUGGGGAAUUUUGGACAAUGGGGGGCAACCCUGAUCCAGCCAUGCCGCGUGAGUGAAGAAGGCC